ACUUACCUGGCAGGGGAGAUACCAUGAUCACGAAGGUGGUUUUCCCAGGGCGAGGCUUAUCCAUUGCACUCCGGAUGUGCUGACCCCUGCGAUUUCCCCAAAUGUGGGAAACUCGACUGCAUAAUUUGUGGUGGUAGUGGGGGACUGCGUUCGCGCUUUCCCCUG
rnacentral:snRNA from 1 species